UAGGGAAUCUUCCGCAAUGGACGCAAGUCUGACGGAGCAACGCCGCGUGAGUGAAGAAGGAUUUCGGUUCGUAAAACUCUGUUGUUAGAGAAGAACAGCGCAUAGAGUAACUGUUAUGCGUGUGACGGUAUCUAACCAGAAAGCCACGGCUAACUACGUGCCAGCAGCCGCGGUAAUACGUAGGUGGCAAGCGUUGUCCGGAUGUAUUGGGCGUAAAGCGAGCGCAGGCGGUCAAUUAAGUCUGAUGUGAAAGCCACCGGCUCAACCGGGGAGGGUCAUUGGAAACUGGUUGACUUGAGUGCAGAGGAGGAGAGUGGAAUUCCAUGUGUGGCGGUGAAAUGCGUAGAUAUAUGGAGGAACACCAGUGGCGAAGGCGACUCUCUGGUCUGUAACUGACGCUGAGGCUCGAAAGCGUGGGUAGCAAACAGG
rnacentral:rRNA from 1 species